AUAUAUAUAUAUAUAUAUAUAUAUAUAUAUAUAUAUAAAUAUAUUAUUUUAAUUGGGGUAGCCCCCAAAAUAUUGGGACAAUGUGCUCCCCAACGAGAAGACGAUGACGCAUUCGUAUGUCAAUCCAUAUCAACUUUCGAUGCCAUUGACUGCGCCUACCAUGGUGACCACGGGUAACGGAGAAUCAGGGUUCGAUUCUGUACAGAGACACGGACAAACGGCUACCACAUGCAAGGAAGGCA